UCGCGUGGGGAGGCUCGCUCCUGUGGGGAGCUUCGCUCGGCACCCGCUGGGCGGGCGAACCCGAAACCGGGCUUGGGACCCGAGCGCCAGAUCCCGGACCCUGGACUGCGACUCUUUUGAACUCUGUGCUUCUCUAAAAUAGGAACCCAGAAGAGGACUGGUCAUUUCUUGCAGCUCAAUGACCAUCACUAAGAGAUUGGUGAUGUUCAGGGAUGUGGCCAUUGACUUCUCUCAGGAAGAGAGUGAAUGCCUGGACUCUCAAAGUGAUUUGUAUAGAUAUGUGAUGUUAGAAAACUAUAAACUGUGGUGUGAUUAAGAAGGAUAUCUGCUCCUCGUAUUUCAGGAUCCACCUUUGAAAUGGCUCCUUUCUCUGCCAUUAUUUCUAGGUUUCUUUUUAAGUAAUUAAAUGAAUUUCUUAUUCUCAAAGGAAUGGUUUGAAGUUGACACAUUUCAUAGAAUAUCUUUAUCUACUACAUCCUUCAGAAAGCCUUAACACUGCCUUAUAAUACCUGUCCUCCCUACCAUCUUCCAUGAUGUCAAGGGGCUAGAUUUGAAUUCAGGGACAUUUGCAAUAUUGUCAGAAAAAAAAACAGGCUAUGUGUUGUUACUCUUUAGAUCUGCUAAAAGAGCUCUAAAUAAUUCACAUGUCCAAUCUAAUUUUAAAAAUAGAUGCUGAUAUGUAUGGCUUUUCUGAUCAGAAGAGCUUAUGUCCUUUGUAUGGUGAUAAGGUGGAUCAAUGCAUUUCACUAACAACUCAAGUGAACACAAUUAAUUUAUUACUUACAACAAAUACGUUGUCAUCUGUGUGCUUGGUAAUUGAAUAUUACAUGUUAAGAACUUUGCGUUUUACACUGAGUGAAUAUGCUAGAAUCACCUUUUAUUUGAAAAUAACUUAGGAUGAAGUUUCAUAAGGGACAAAGCCUAUAUCAAUUAAAACCUUAUUUAAUAAGUGAUUUUCUUACCUAGGGAAUCACUUUUUUCCUUGUACUUCUAAUGUCACUGGAAUUUAACUCUCUCUUGCCUCUUCACUUCUUUUUCCUUUGAAGGUUUUAUAAAGUUAUUGAUUGCUGCACUCCCCUGCAGGACCCAACGUGUGUGGGAAAAAGACCUAUGGCUUGAGGGAUAAAAGCAAGGACUUUUCAGUGUAAUCUCCCUAAAGAAUCUCACCUGUUGUGGUUGGAAUGUCCCCCAGAGUUUAUGUUGGAAUUUAACCCCCAAUAUGUUGGUAGAAGGUGGUGUCUUUAGGAUGUGAUUGGAUCUCAAGGACUGUGUCCUAAUGAAUGGAUUAGUCCAUUCCUGGAGUAAUGGGUUAAUGGUUUAAUGGGCUGUCGUGCGUGUGGACUGGUGGUUUUAUGAGGAGAACGCAUGUGAAAGAGUGCUUGCCAUCUUUGCCAUGUGAUUACCUGCAUCACCAUGGGACUCUGUAGAGAGUUCCCACCCCGAAGAGGGCCCUCACAGAUGUUCCCCCUGGACUG